CCUACGGGAGGCUGCAGUAGGGAAUAUUGCUCAAUGGGGGAAACCCUGAAGCAGCCACGUCGCGUGGAGGAUGAAGGUUUUCGGAGUUUUAACUCCUUUUGUUAGGGAAGAUAAUGACGGUAUCUAACGAAUAAGCACCGGCUCACUCCGUGCCAGCAGCCGCGGUAAUACGGAGGGUCCAAGCGUUACUCGGAAUCACUGGGCGUAAAGAGAGCGUAGGCGGGAUAGCAAGGCAGAUGUGAAAUCCUAUGGCUUAACCAUAGAACUGCAUUUGAAACUGGUAUUCUAGAGUAUGGGAGAGGUAGGUGGAAUGCGUGGUGUAGGGGUAAAAUCCGUAGAGAUCAAGAGGAAUACUCAUUGCGAAGGCGACCUGCUAGUACAUAACUGACGCUGAGGCGCGAAAGCGUGGGGAGCGAACAGGAUUAGAUACCCGGGUAGUC
rnacentral:rRNA from 1 species